rnacentral:rRNA from 1 species
CCUACGGGAGGCAGCAGUGGGGGAUAUUGCACAAUGGGGGAAACCCUGAUGCAGCGACGCCGCGUGGGUGAAGAAGGGCCUCGGCGCGUAAAGCCCUGUCAGCAGGGAAGAAAAUGACGGUACCUGAAGAAGAAGCCCCGGCUAACUACGUGCCAGCAGCCGCGGUAAUACGUAGGGGGCAAGCGUUAUCCGGAUUUACUGGGUGUAAAGGGGGCGCAGACGGCGAGGCAAGCCAGGAGUGAAAGCCCGGGGCCCAACCCCGGGACUGCUCUUGAAACUGCGUGGCUAGAGUGCAGGAGGGGCAGGCGGAAUUCCUGGUGUAGCGGUGAAAUGCGUAGAUAUCAGGAGGAACACCGGUGGCGAAGGCGGCCUGCUGGACUGCAACUGACGUUGAGGCCCGAAAGCGUGGGGAGCAAACAGGAUUAGAUACCCGGGUAGUC